AGUACACUUUCUCUUCAGAUCGUAGAAAUCUUUCGCCUUUUACUAAAGAUUUCCGCGGAGAGAAAUAUUUUGAGAAUAAAUUAAGUUUUUGGUGUCCUGCUGAAUAGCAGGGC